GUCAAAGGUCAGUAGAAGAUGGAGAAGACAGAUUUUUCAUGUGAGGAAAUGCAUUUGACAAAGAGGAGGGAAGGGUCUUAUUUUAGCUGUCCGAAGGUCUGAAAGUGUCUCCGUCUUCAAAAAUGUUAAACUACUGGACUCGGAUUUCUUGGCGAGGACAUCGACUUGUUUUUCAAAUGAUUCCUACCUGCUGUUUAACCGGGCGAUUGGAUGCGUUCUCCAUCAAAGAUUUCUGAUUCGUGUUCAGCAGCGCCCGAACCCAUGUCAAGUUUAUUUUGCCUGCCGAAGUUUGUGUUUUAGUUAAUUUGCAGGGUUAAAAUUUUAUAUAACUGUAAUGUUUGCGUAGGAUUGCAAUUCAAUGCAUAAAAUGUGCAUCAACUUAACGGUAGCACGCAGCGAGCAUUUUAUUUAAUAAACUUAUGAUCAGAAAAGAAAAAAGAAAGAAAUGGACUAAAUCUAUACUAAGCACCAACCUUACAUGUUGUUGGUUGUAUGUUAUACACUUGCUUUUAAGUCGUAGUACAGUACUCUGCCCGACAGCAUGGCGCUUUGCGUAGUUUAUUCAAACAUCUGUGUCGGGAGGAGGUAUCCAUCAAUUCUCGAACUGGAGUUAUGGCAAAGAUAAUUUCAAUGCAUUGUGUUUUGCCUAAGUGCUGGAUGAAAAGAAAAAUGAUAGUUAUGAAGUUAUCACUGAGCCAUGUUCCGGUAGAGUACUGUACUAACACCACUAAUUUUUUAUUUGAUGGGCAAUAAUUUUCUGUGGGUAAAUUGGGUAAAUCUUCAGUUAGGCACUUGGCUGAUUAUUGAUUUUUAUGAUAAGUAAAACUCUGUGGAGCAAAAUAUCUCAACUUCAUUACGUAUAUUGCUUUGACAUGAAACUUUUAGGAGAUAAUCAAAUACUUCCAGUUUAAAAAAAGAGCUUCCAGGUUUUUAAUCAAGAGGAUUUUUCGUGUGAGCAGCGAUUUCCAAAUGCAUAAAAUUUUCAACACGCUUUAGUUAGCGAUAGUGGGCCUUUUUUUUUUCUUUUUUUUUGUAUUUUGGCGUGAUUUAUAUUUCGGAAUACGAUGUUGUAAUACAAAAAUGUCUUUAUUAUAAAGCAAAAUCAUACUUUUCAGUUUUCAUAUUCAAAUGUUUU